rnacentral:rRNA from 1 species
UGGGGAAUAUUGGACAAUGGGGGCAACCCUGAUCCAGCCAUGCCGCGUGAGUGAAGAAGGCCUUAGGGUUGUAAAGCUCUUUCAGCGGGGAAGAUGAUGACGGUACCCGCAGAAGAAGCCCCGGCUAACUCCGUGCCAGCAGCCGCGGUAAUACGGAGGGGGCAAGCGUUGUUCAGAAUUACAGGGCGUAAAGGGCGCGCAGGCGGCAGGCCGCGUCAGGUGUGAAAGCCCCGGGCUCAACCUGGGAACUGCACUUGAUACGGGCCGGCUUGAGGGCGAGAGAGGAGUGUGGAAUUCCGAGUGUAGAGGUGAAAUUCGUAGAUAUUCGGAGGAACACCAGUGGCGAAGGCGGCUCACUGGCUCGAUACUGACGCUGAGGUGCGAAAGUGUGGGGAGCAAACAGGAUUAGAUACCCCCGUAGUCC